rnacentral:rRNA from 1 species
UUAUAAUUUUUUGAAAAAAAAAAAUCGAAAAUUAUAAGAAUUAUUAAAAAAAAAACCACAUCGAUAAUAAUGUGUAAAUAUUUUUUAAUAGAAUAAAGUUAUAUGCUCUUCGUUUAUUUAUAUAUCUAUUUAAUCUUUUCUUUUUAAAAAAUUAUAAAGUUUUUUUAUAAAAAAAAAAUUAGAAAGCUUUUUUUUUUUUUAAAAUUGUUAAAAAUAAGUUUUUUAAAAGUAUUAAAUAGCAGUUUUUUGUUUACUAAAUACCACAGAUAUAGAUUUUUAUUAUAUUUUUUUUUUUAAUUACUAGUAAGAAAAGAAAAAAAAUUAAAUGUUUUUAUAAUAAUUAUAACUGUAGUAUGUUUUUAUUAAGAAAAAAUCAAAAUAUUAAGGAGGUAAAAUAAACCCCCAUUAUGAUAAAAGAAGAAAAGACCCUAGGUGGUUUAAUUUUUUUUUCCACUGGGGUAGUGAAAUAUAAUUAAAAAACAUAUUUUUUUGAAUAAUUUUUUUUUUUCUAAAUGAACCUAUGUAGAUAGUUAAUUGGAAAAACCAACCCUAGGGAUAACAGCGCUAUAUAUGAUAAUAGAACAUAUUGAUUCAUAUUUUUACGACCUCGAUGUCGUCUUAUAAUACAAGUUUUCAUGCAGAGGUGAUUAUUUUACGAUUGUUCCUCGUUUUAAAUUAUACAUGAGCUGGGUUUAGUACGGAGUGAUUUAGUUCGGUUUUUAUCUUUUUUUUAAACAAAAAAUAGUACGAAAGGAAUUUUUCUUGUUUACUUUUUUUUUUAUGGUUUUUUAGUUUUUAUUAUUAAUACAAAACAGGGAUAUAUAUUAACCCACAUAUGUUUUUUUGAAUCGUAAAAUAUUAGUUUUUUUUUUUUUUUUUUUUUAUUUCUUUAUUGGNUUUUAGAUUUUUUUUUUUAGCGAAAUAUAGUAGUAUUCUAAUUAACCCAAAAGUAGUAUAUAUUUCUCAAUUCGUUGGGUUUUUUUUUAUAUUUUUUUUUUUUUUUUUCAGCGAAAUAUGGGAAUAUUCUAAUUAGCCCAAAAUAGUAUUUUCCCAAUUUUGUUGGGUUUUUUUUAUUUUUGAUUAUAUUUUACAAAAGUGUAUUAUGAUUUUUUGAAAAAAAAAAAAAUCGAAAAUUAUAAGAAUUAUUAAAAAAAAAACCACAUGGAUAAAAAU